UACAGAGGGUGCCAGCGUUGUUCGGAAUCACUGGGCGUAAAGCGCGUGUAGGCGGUUUCCUAAGUCAGGUGUGAAAUCCCCCAGCUUAACUGGGGAAGUGCGCCUGAAACUGGGAGGCUUGAGUGUCGGAGAGGGUAGGGGAAUUCCCGGUGUAGAGGUGAAAUUCGUAGAUAUCGGGAGGAACACCGGUGGCGAAGGCGCCUACCUGGACGACAACUGACGCUGAGACGCGAAAGCGUGGGUAGCAAACAGG
rnacentral:rRNA from 1 species